UACGUAGGGGGCAAGCGUUGUCCGGAAUCAUUGGGCGUAAAGCGCGUGUAGGCGGUUCGGUAAGUCGGCUGUGAAAGUCCAGGGCUCAACCCUGGGAUGCCGGUCGAUACUGCCGGGCUAGAGUUCGGAAGAGGCGAGUGGAAUUCCCGGUGUAGCGGUGAAAUGCGCAGAUAUCAGGAGGAACACCGGUGGCGAAGGCGGUUCUCUGGGCCUUACCUGACGCUGAGGAGCGAAAGCGUGGGGAGCGAACAGG
rnacentral:rRNA from 1 species